GCGCUUGUAGCUCAGUUUGGAUAGAGCACAUGCCUUCUAAGCCUGUUGUCGAGGGUUCGACUCCCCCCAAGCGCGCCA
rnacentral:tRNA from 1 species